ensembl:snoRNA SNORD46 Small nucleolar RNA SNORD46
CGUGUGAGUGAUGUAAACACGUCCUUAGGUCGGUCUGUAUUUGACCGUUUUGGUCAAAACGUUUGGACUGUCCAAUGUUAGGAUUCGUCAUAGUUACACUGACACAUG